UGUUGUGCAGAAUUGCAAACCUAGAAAGAAAUCAACUUGAAAGAAUUUAUAUAAAUGUAUUUGCCCUUCUUUUGACCCUUCUACAUCAUGAAUAUUUGGUGGCUGUUGCUUGGCGACUGUGAGAUCUCUCCAUAGGAUUGACAUGGGCUGGGCCUCUCAAUGACCUUGAUAUGAUUGUUCUUCAGCCAUUCCUUGGUUGCCUUGGCUGUAGGUUCUAGGUCACUAACCUGUUGGAAGACCCAUCCAUGACUGAUUUGAAGGGUCCUGACUUAAGGAGGGUAGGAAGUUCUCACUCAAGAUUUUCCAUUAAUGGCUCCAUCAACGUGGUGACGUAGCUCUGUGCAGAAAAAUAGCCACAAAGCAUAAUGCUUCCACCUCCAUGUUUGACAGUGGGGAAGCUGUUCUUGGGGUCAUAGGUAGCAAUUCUCUUCCUCCAAACCCAAUGGUUGAGUCGAUGCCAAAGAGCUCAGUUUUGAGCCAAACAUUCCAUUAUGCAGAAUAAAAUGAUAAAGCAAACCCUAUUUUUCAGUGUGUGAUUUUCAUUUUUUCAUAAAUCUUAGGACAAUUUAGAUGAUAAAAGUAACAAAUAUAUGAAAACAGUAUAAUACAGUAAAUAUGUAAAUAUUUGAUGUGAUGAACAAUGUUUAUCUGAUUUAGACCCAACAUGAAAUAUUUUUUGACACACACAAAUCAAGUUGUGUUAUUUACUGCUCGUAAUUUAGACACAAAUGAUAGAAAUGUUAGGUUUAUAUGCCAAAGAGGCCAUGUGAAAAUUUUAGUGCAAAUACGCAUGCGUGCGCGCCGUGCACAUAAAGCCACCCCACCCCCACGUGUCCGCGCGCCGGUCGGGGGGUGUUGGGCGUCAAUAAAGGUAAUCUGGUUGUCGCGCUUUCUGCAUCUCUGCGCGAGCUAAAGAAGUCUCAAAGAUGAAUGCAGCUGUUGUUGUUAUUACUGUGUGACGGAGGAGCGGUGCUGAAAAAUACGGCCUCCAGUCCAUCGAGAGACUGAACGUAACACGACUGCAGGCUGACUCUGCCACGAGGCUCGACAACUUCUUGCAUCAACUGUGAUCGCUGUGGCCGCCAAAACAUCCAAAUGUAAGGCGGGCUACAAAGAUUUCAGGCCAAAAGAGAACGCCUCACAUGUGAUGAAGUGUCUGUAUUGGUUGGAAAAACCAGCAGCCUUCCAGUGCUUCAGCCGUCCAACCAUCAACCGUUUCAGACAUCCAUCCUCCCAUCACUUCAGCCCCACAGCCGUCCACCAGUGUGCCAACUUCUGACAUUUUACUAUCCUGGGGGGGGUCAUGGCCUCUACGCUGGAUCCCAAAAAAGAGACAAAAAAACCCCGACCUCAACCCCCACUCUUAGUCAGACAUGUUUAUUUUUUUAUUUACAAUAAUAAAUAAUAUACUAUGUACAUUUA